GGGUAGGUAGCUCAGUUGGUAGAGCGCCAGGACUGAAAAUCCUGGCGUCGAGGAUUCGAUUCCGACCCUGCCCA
rnacentral:tRNA from 1 species